rnacentral:lncRNA from 1 species
GUAUAUUUUUCAAUUCUCUUAAUCAGCAGUACAUUCCAUAUGCAUAUUAUGUGUUUAUAUAUAUGCAGAAAUUAUUUGUGACUAUUACAUGACAUUUUGAUUCUUCCCCUACAUUUUCUUUACAGAUAUUCAAGAAUUUUAUGAGGUGACAUUACUAAAUUCUCAAAAAAGUUGUGAGCAGAAAAUAGAAGAAGCCAAUCAAGUUGUACAGAAAUGGGAGAAGACAUCCAUUCUUUCUCCAUGCCAUGAUAGCCUUCAAAAAUCUGCAGAGUUUACAGGCUGCAGUGGGCCAAAGGAGAAUGUUUCCUGUAUUGAGAAAAAUAAAGAAAAUCAGUGUUUUGAGAAUGAAACUGGUGAAAAGACAAGUCAAAACCAAGGCAAAUGCCCAGCCCAGAAUUGUUCAGUGGAAGCCCCUGCAUGGAUGCCUGUCCACCAUUGCACUGUAAGUUUGAUUAUGUCAAGAUUCGCUAAAUUGAAGCAGAAA